rnacentral:rRNA from 1 species
UGGGGAAUCUUGCGCAAUGGCCUGACGGCUGACGCAGCGACGCCGCGUGCGGGAGGACGCCCCUCGGGGUGUAAACCGCUGUCGCCCGGGACGAACCCGGUCUUUCGAGACCGCUGACGGUACCGGGCGAGGAAGCACCGGCUAACUCCGUGCCAGCAGCCGCGGUAAUACGGAGGGUGCGAGCGUUGUCCGGAAUCACUGGGCGUAAAGGGCGCGUAGGCGGCGCGGGAAGCGGGCGGUGAAAGCCCGGGGCUCAACCCCGGGUCGGCCGU